rnacentral:tRNA from 1 species
GCCGGGGUGGCCGAGCGGUUCUAGGCGCUACAGUCUGGAAAUCUAUGGUCGCAGGUUCGAAUCCUGCCUCCGGCA